UAUUUAAUAUUAUUUAAAAGAAUAAAACAAAAUAUUCUAGGGUUGACUCUUGAAAUAAAGGGUAAAAAGCCUAAAAUACCCUUGGGUGACAAGAUUUAACAAGAAAAUCUAAUUGGGUUAAGCCUAAAGCACAAAACGUGCAACAAAAUUCCUUGUAAAGGGCAAAACUUGUCAAAAAGGAUACCGCCUGAUAAGUGGUAUUAAGAUAAAGGACAAAACUUGUAAUUUUUCCAAAACUAAAUUCAGUAAUCUCAGUCAAAGUAUCCUCAUUGACCUGCCAGGUAUCUUAAAACUAGCCCCAUUGGUUGAUGUACCGACAGCGAUAUGUAUCUUAAAACUAGCCCCAUUGGUUGAUGUACCGACAGCAAUACGUC
rnacentral:lncRNA from 1 species